rnacentral:rRNA from 1 species
AGUGAACGCUGGCGGUAGGCCUAACACAUGCGAGUCGAACGGCAGCACAGUAAGAGCUUGCUCUUACGGGUGGCGAGUGGCGGACGGGUGAGGAAUACAUCGGAAUCUACUUUUUCGUGGGGGAUAACGUAGGGAAACUUACGCUAAUACCGCAUACGACCUACGGGUGAAAGCAGGGGAUCUUCGGACCUUGCGCGAUUGAAUGAGCCGAUGUCGGAUUAGCUAGUUGGCGGGGUAAAGGCCCACCAAGGCGACGAUCCGUAGCUGGUCUGAGAGGAUGAUCAGCCACACUGGAACUGAGACACGGUCCAGACUCCUACGGGAGGCAGCAGUGGGGAAUAUUGGACAAUGGGCGCAAGCCUGAUCCAGCCAUACGCGUGGGUGAAGAAGGCCUUCGGGUUGUAAAGCCCUUUUGUUGGGAAAGAAAAGCAGCAGGUUAAUACCCCGCUGUUCUGACGGUACCCAAAGAAUAAGCACCGGCUAACUUCGUG